rnacentral:rRNA from 1 species
UACGUAGGGUGCGAGCGUUAAUCGGAAUUACUGGGCGUAAAGCGUGCGCAGGCGGUUUUGUAAGCCAGAUGUGAAAUCCCCGGGCUUAACCUGGGAAUGGCAUUUGGGACUGCAAGGCUCGAGUGCGGCAGAGGAGACUGGAAUUCCUGGUGUAGCAGUGAAAUGCGCAGAUAUCGGGAAGAACACCCGUGGCUAAGGCGGCUCUCUAGUACGGUACUGACGCUGAGACGCGAAAGCGUGGGGAGCGAACAGG